rnacentral:rRNA from 1 species
GGGCCCGCACAAGCAGUGGAGUAUGUGGUUUAAUUCGACGCAACGCGAAGAACCUUACCAGGUCUUGACAUCCCGUGCAUAGCAUAGAGAUAUGUGAAAUACUUCGGUACACGGUGACAGGUGGUGCAUGGUUGUCGUCAGCUCGUGUCGUGAGAUGUUGGGUUAAGUCCCGCAACGAGCGCAACCCUUAUCGUCAGUUACUACGCAAGAGGACUCUGGCGAGACUGCCGUUGACAAACGGAGGAAGGUGGGGAUGAUGUCAAAUCAGCAUGCCCUUUAUGACCUGGGCUACACACGUACUACAAUGGCCGUUAACAGAGGGAAGCGAAGGAGCGAUCCGGAGCAAACCCAGAAAAACGGUCUCAGUUCGGAUCGGAGGCUGCAACCCGCCUCCGUGAAGCCGGAAUUGCUAGUAAUCGCGGAUCAGCAUGCCG